CUUUUGCGCGCAAACAGCGGCCAUCUUGAAUCUUGCAGCACUUGCGAGAUUCACGCCGGCCAUGUCGUUUAGCCAGUUUGUGAUUCCCACUGUUUAAAAUAUUUUUCCUGCGAAAUAAAAGUUUUACAAGUACUUUUGAGCUCAAUACUAAUACAUAUCAUGGGCAUGUGGAAUAAAGGUUUUAUAUGUACCUUUUCUGGAAGAUUAUGAAUGGACUGUUCACUGCUGAGCUCUAUACUGUCAUAUUUCAGUGGCAUGUGAAAUAAAAGUUUUAUAUGUAACUCUGCAUGAAUAUGUAGGACUGAUCCCUGCUGUGUGCAUAUAGUGGAUGCAGUACUCAUGUCUGCUGGCAGUUUGCUCUAUUCUGUUCUAUACAAUUG